rnacentral:rRNA from 1 species
UGGGGAAUAUUGGACAAUGGGCGGAAGCCUGAUCCAGCAACGCCGCGUGAGGGAUGACGGCCUUCGGGUUGUAAACCUCUUUCACCAUUGACGAAGCCUUCGGGUGACGGUAGGUGGAGAAGAAGCACCGGCCAACUACGUGCCAGCAGCCGCGGUAAUACGUAGGGUGCGAGCGUUGUCCGGAAUUAUUGGGCGUAAAGGGCUCGUAGGCGGUUUGUCGCGUCGGGAGUGAAAACAUCGGGCUUAACUCGGUGCUUGCUUUCGAUACGGGCAGACUUGAGGCAUGCAGGGGAGAACGGAAUUCCUGGUGUAGCGGUGAAAUGCGCAGAUAUCAGGAGGAACACCGGUGGCGAAGGCGGUUCUCUGGGCAUGUUCUGACGCUGAGGAGCGAAAGUGUGGGGAGCGAACAG